rnacentral:ncRNA from 1 species
ACCAACAAGUCUAACAUGUGCGCGAGUCAAUGGGACUUCAAAACCCAGAGGCGGAAUGAAACGUGAAGGCCUGGCCUCGUGCCGUGCCGUGUUGCCAUCCCGGGCCGCCCAGGGGUCUGAUGAAGGGAGCAGCAACAACCCGCCCCACACGCUCACGUUGUGGGGGCGGGGCUAGAGCACACGGAUUGGCACCCGAAAGAUGGCGGACUAUGCCCGGGCAGGACGAGGCGAGAGGAUGCUCUGGCGGAGGUCCGAAGCGCUUCUUACGUGCAAAUCAGAUCGUACGACCCAGGUACAGGGGCGAAAGACUAAUCGAA